rnacentral:rRNA from 1 species
UACAGAGGGUGCGAGCGUUAAUCGGAAUUACUGGGCGUAAAGCGCGCGUAGGCGGCUUUGCAAGUCGAGUGUGAAAUCCCCAGGCUCAACCUGGGAACUGCAUUCGAGACUGCAUAGCUAGAGUAUGGGAGAGGGAAGUGGAAUUUCAGGUGUAGCGGUGAAAUGCGUAGAUAUCUGAAGGAACAUCAGUGGCGAAAGCGACUUCCUGGACCAGUACCGACGUUCAGGCACGAAAGCGUGGGGAGCAAACAGG